rnacentral:lncRNA from 1 species
GCAGUCUUUCCGGGCAGGACCCCGCACCCAAAGGCUCACCUGUGGGACCGCGUUGUCAGUCUCGGCGCCUGCGCUCCGCUCCAGGAAGAAAGCGCCAAGGCGAGGCAUGGCGGUCUCCGUGCGCACCGGCAGCUUCUCGUGGGACAUCAGGAUGUCGUCCAAAGAAAGAAAGUUCUCCUCAGGCCCCAGCGCACCCGACUCCACUCGGAAAUAAGCCUCUGACAUGGCGGCCACUUGAGCUUCUCCGCUUCCACUCGCGUGAUUCGGAGGAGCCUCAGGAGUUAGGGGUGUACAAGACGGGGAAGCGGAGACUGGGCAGGAUGGUUGGGGUCAGGAAAGUGGAUUGAAACUCGUUUCCCGCGCCCGGGGACGCAUCAGACAGGAGCAGUCAAUUCGGGCGGUACCGCCCAGGCAGAAGCAAUCGAUCAAGUCUGCAGAUUUAGAGCAGCGGGACACGGCUGGGGAGCGGUAGGUGGGGGCGCCGGAAGUUCUCUUCCCUCCGCUUGCUGCACGGUGUGGGAACGUUACGAAGAAGCUGGAACGCUCGUUGAAGCUCCUGGACCCAUUUGUACUGGAUUGUGUUCAUGUGAUCCUUAACUAUUUAUAUGAAAUUAAAAACACUUUGCAACACUUUUAGGGGUUUAAAAUAAAAGCAUCUUGUGCCCUUCACUCCAGGCCUAAGUCCGACCCUUUCCUACAGUUUUUUUCACUAUGCAACUCCGUUAAUCUUAGUAUUUGAAAGAAAUGUUAAACAAACAAAAACUUCCAGCACUAUCCCCAGCGAGUUAUUAUGGUCUAGAUGAUGAACUAGUGUGUUGUAUUUUGUUAGUAUUUUGGUGGGGGUUGGACGGGGUGGGUAGAGGGGUGGAGCACUAGACUGCACAUGGCUUGCUAAGGUUGUGAGUAUACUUCAGGGUGUCUUAGCUCAUCAUCAACUGACAAUCUCCUUUUGUGGCUCUGAAUUUAAAUCCCUAAAAAUGGAAAUCCAAUUGGUCCAGUUUAUUGAUUGGUCCAGGUACGCCACAAUGGUCAUAGAUCUCCAGCCACCCUGUAGAUGGGGGUGCCUGUGUUGGGUGCGAUCACUAUCCAGUGACCAGGGGAAGGACCAUGGUCGCAUAGUACCAGGUUUGGUGGCUCUCCUCAGCCAGGGCUAUGGGUGGCGGCAUAUUGUUGAGAGAUGCACUACAGAACUUACUUCGUCUAGAGCAUUUCUGGGGCUACUGGAGCCGGGAGUAAAGGGUGUGUGUGAAGGGAGGUGUGUAUUAACCAUGGAUUUUAGUUUCUGUUUUCUGUAUUUUAUGAUGCUUUGACAUCUUGGGGCCUUGGGGACCUGGGGAGGAAUUGCCCCUUUCAGAGUUAGCUAAUUCCUAGAGAUAGCAAACAACUUGCUUGUGAACACCCCUUUCAUUUACAAACCAACCAACCCAAGCCUAUAUCCCCACACCAUCUUUAUCCAUCUCACACACCAAUAUUUUCCCUGCCCCAAGUCACUGUAAUAAACCACCCCAUGGCCAAGUACCAGACAACUAAAAUUCACCUCUAUAUCCCAGAGCUUGCCAACAUUAUUCAAAUUAUUCAAUCCUAAGCUUGUUCAGACUUCCCUUCCCUGCUUCGCCCAUUCCUUCCCACGGCAAUAAAGGCUCUGGGCUUUCUCCUCGCUCUCUCUACCUCCUCAUUGACCCUAAUACUUUCUCGUGUGGCCGUAGGCACAGCCCCUUCUCUUGAGAACUAUAAUAAAAUUUUCAAAGGCAUUGGCCACUAACUCAUUGAUUGUCAUCACCCAGUCACCUUUAUAAAUGAAAUUCUGAGGACAAUGAAAACAAGGUGCAGUGGGGUGGAAAGGAAUGGCCAAACUGUGGAAAAUCUUGGUACCAUUCUAAGGAGUUAGGCCAUUCCAUAGAAAAUGGGAGGAAAAUGUAAGGCAAAUAAUAACAUAAAUCUGGGCUUCAGGAAGAGAAUUCCAGCAGUAGAUAAAGAAGAGAGAGAUUAGAUGCUUGGAAGCUGUUCAGUGGGCAGUAUUUGGCAACCAAUUGGAUAUAGGAAGUGAAGUAUAGUGAGUAGUCAAAAGAUUCAAGUUUUGAACGUGGCUGACCAGGUGGAUGGACAUGUCAUGAAUAGAUACACAGAACACAGGAAUAGGGGCAGCUGGAGGGAAGGGAUGAGUUCAGUUUGGGACACAUGGUGUCCAAGAGCUACUAGACAGGAAGGUCUGCAGCCCAGUGGAGAAAGCAGCCUAGAAGCUUUAGAGAGGAGGCACACUGAGAGGCAGUUAUAUGAAGGUUUUUUCCUUUUUCAUAUUUUAAAUGUUCAGUUUGUGAUACAGUCCAAUGUAAAAAUAAACACAAUCUGCAGUGAUAAUUUAGAAUUUCUCUGAUGACAUGGAAUAUAUGGUACUGGAUGUAGUUUGAGACAGAAAUAUAAUUUGGCUAAUUGAAGGCAAUGUUAUUUACUGCCAAGGAGAGUAAGCUAUUUUUUAUGCUGAUAUAAUUAAGAUAGAUGCAUACUGAUUUAUUGAUGCCAAAGAAAGGCAUUAUUUUUGUACAGAGACCACAAUACUGGCUCCAAACUCAAAUACCACUAUUAUUUUAAUAAUACAGUAACAGGCCAAUGUUUAACAUAAAAUCAGAUUGCCUUGUUUGUCUUACUUAAUGUCUUGGCUCAUCAUGAAACUAUCAUUGUGUAUAUAUUGUUCUAUUUAAACUGUCCUCUC